UACGGAGGAUCCAAGCGUUAUCCGGAAUCAUUGGGUUUAAAGGGUCCGUAGGCGGACAAUUAAGUCAGUGGUGAAAGUCUUCCGCUUAACGGGAGAACUGCCAUUGAUACUGGCGGUCUUGAAUUAGUAUGAAGUGGUUGGAAUGAGUAGUGUAGCGGUGAAAUGCAUAGAUAUUACAUAGAAUACCGAUUGCGAAGGCAGAUCACUAAUAAUUUACUGACGCUGAUGGACGAAAGCGUAGGUAGCGAACAGG
rnacentral:misc_RNA from 1 species